UACGGAGGGGACUAGCGUUGUUCGGAAUUACUGGGCGUAAAGCGCGCGUAGGCGGACUAUUAAGUCAGGGGUGAAAUCCCGGGGCUCAACCCCGGAACUGCCCUUGAUACUGGCGAUCUUCGAGUCCGGGAGAGGUGAGUGGAACUGCGAGUGUAGAGGUGAAAUUCGUAGAUAUUCGGAGGAACACCAGUGGCGAAGGCGGCUCACUGGCCAGAUACUGACGCUGAGGUGCGAAAGUGUGGGGAGCAAACAGG
rnacentral:misc_RNA from 1 species